rnacentral:tRNA from 1 species
CAACUCCACAUAGGGUAGUAUAAUACAAUACCUUUUGCUUACACCAAAAAACUGGCUUCAUAAAACCCCCUUUGA